rnacentral:rRNA from 1 species
AUACGGAGGGCGCGAACGUUGCUCGGAAUCAUUGGGCGUAAAGCGCACGUAGGCGGCCUGAUAAGUCGGAUGUGAAAGCCCACGGCUCAACCGUGGAAGUGCAUUCGAAACUGUCAGGCUCGAGUAUGGGAGAGGGUUGCGGAAUUCCCGGUGUAGAGGUGAAAUUCGUAGAUAUCGGGAGGAACACCAGCGGCGAAGGCGGCAGCCUGGACCAAUACUGACGCUGAGGUGCGAAAGCGUGGGGAGCAAACAGGAUUAGAAACCCGAGUAGUCC